UUAGGAUGAUCCACUGGCUUUGGAACAACUGCCUGUGACAUUUCCUUCCAGUAUCAGGUAUCUGUCUCCAGCAAACCUGUGCAAGCUGAGUAUCACCAUCUGGUCCUGGAUGCAUUUUGUUAUCAGUGCUGGAAGUGAUGAUACGGUAUGCCGCUGUCAUGUGCCCAGAGGAUGCAGGGGCCAGAGAGGACACUCAGAAGCAACUCUGCUACAGAAUUCUGCAUUUUCUCCAGCGGUACGAAGAGUGUGUUCACAGUUCCUGAUGACUGGUAGACAUCCCAGGGUGAGAAGUAUCUAUAAGACACAGUCAUGUGCACUUCACAGCUUGACUCUGGAGAGUGAUCUCUUCCAGGCCCUCUACUACAAGGGUAUUUUCUUUUUCUGUCACUGUCACCCCUCCAACAGCAGAAGUUUCUGGCUCACCCACCGGAGAGGCUAAAGCUUGCCUGGAAUUAUAUUGCUUACAGAAUAAAGAGAAGUCAGAGCCUCUUAUGUAACUUGAAGAGUUGGAAAGAUCCAGUGAUAAAAACCAGUGCCCUGAACUUUUGCAAAGCACGAUCAAUCGCUGCGUACGAUCCUCCGGUCCUUGGCAAGAUCAUGAACUGGGAGCUGUGUGGAAAGACAACCGGAUUGGGAGCCAGGGUCCUGCCCUGGGUUUCUUCCAGGUGACCCUACCACCCGUCAGCCGUCUGGUCUUGGGAGUCCAAGUGGGAGACGGGCAGAGAAAGGAGGACAGAGGAUCUGAAGCGGGCUCUGCGCUGACAGCAGUGAGCCCAGAGUGGGACCUGAACUCACAAAUCAUGGGAUCAUGUUGGAUGUUCAACCACUGGAGCCACCCAGGGUCCUUUCUUUUGGAAAUGCUACAAGAUGGCUGUGUUGUCAGUGGUGGAAAUUAUCGAUAGUUCUCAAAAGCAAGGAAUCACAGAAUAUCUGCUUUCCAGUAGUGAUGUAUGACUCACCAAAGCCACAACAUUUUUUAUAAUGCCCUUAGUUUUUUUCAUAGAAACUGAACUGAGAUUCCUAAUAUUUCCUGGAAUUUUUUAAAAAAAGGAAGGAAAAAAAGAAUUCAAGGAGAUGUCCAUUUGUUAGCCCAUCACUGGCACGCAUCGGCGUUAAAGAGUCAUUGGUGGGGUGACUGGAAGGCUCCGAGUAGAAUUCUCUGAAGGGGCAUGCCUGUGUUGCAGGGGAUGCUGGCUGUUGGCUGGGACUGCAGUUCAAUGGGGGCCAUUUGUCUCUCCAAGGUUCUGCAGGAAGGUGUGGGACUGGAAUAUUAAUGUGGCCAUUUUUGGAAAAGACAACCUGCUCCAAGAAAUUCUCACCUUUUCCAUGUCAUCUGUACCAGCUGUAGCUGCAGAGAAAAUGUGAAAAUGAGCCAGAUUCUCUCAGCUGCCCAGCUGCACGUGAGCAUUGCAACUUCUUCACGCCGAAAAUAAGGCACGGUGUAAGCUGUCAGUGCUUAGCUGGGAAACCCAACAAAUUUUCAUGUUGCAUUUCCCAUGCCUAGCAGAGCCAUGAGUUUUAAAUUCCCUGUGAACUGUCAAAUAUAGCUUAAGCAAAAAGCAAACAAACAAACAAAAAAACCACAACAGAUGAACUCAUGACCGGGAUGGUGGAAGUCUACCUUUGCUUGGUUGGGCUCUGUAUUUUAAUUGUUGUCUCUAAGCUUUCUCAAAGAACACAGCUAGGAGAUUCUUCAGUGCAUACAGGUGUCCUUAUGCUUGCCAGCCACACGAUGGAUAAGGCUGUGUUGAACUUCAUGUAGUGCUUGAGGGUCCAAUGCAUGCUUCCUGUUAUCUACUUACUAGGGUCGGAGUUGGUUCAUUCAUUUGUAUCCUCAGUGUCCCUUGGUUCCCCACUGGGGCAUGCAUAAGUAGAACACAUUAACAGGAGACUAACAGGUAAUUACCAGAUAUGUAUGGAUUGCCCAUAGAGUAGCACUUAGAGAAUUGUCAGAAAACAUCCAGUUAAUGCAGCCUGCUCAAUUGGAAUCUUAAUUUAUGGUAUGGAUUGGUAGCCCCAAACCAGCGGUGUAUUAGACCUUCAGGGACUUUAAUUUUUAAAGACACUAUUACUAUAAUUUUAUACUUCUGAACCAAUCCAAGUUCUUUCCUAAUAUAAGAAGAUGAGGUCAUUGUGUAACAGAGGUCUCAAAAACUAAGCUGUUUUGGCAAUUCACAUUUAAAACAAAAUGGUUCAUGGCUGGAUAAAUCAAAUGGCAUUUUAACAAAGUUUGGUCCCCAAUCUUUUCUUGUUUAAGCUGAAGACAACCAUGAGGUAUUUCAGCUAAGACAAGUCAGUAUUUUGCUUUGCAGAAAUUUGUUGACAUUUUUAGCAGUCCCUUUUCUCCUGUAACUACAAUGCCAAAUGAGCAAAAUGAGUGUACUGACAGCCAAUACUGUCCCUGCUUCAAUGGAAUUCAAACAUUCUGUGUCCAGAUAUUUCUGUUCCUUGACAUAUACUUGUGAGGAACAUUGCUAAUAUCCCCAGCUCAGACAGUUAACUAUAAAAAUGAUCAGUGAAGAUAGCCUGGUGGUUCUUCAGUUCACCUAGGGGGAGCUUGGGGCUCACUCCCCAAAGAUGCUCUUUCACAGGCCCAUAUGAAUCUUGAAAAUUCCCCUUAUGAUUCUGGGUACCAGCCCAGCCUGGGACCGAUUGAACUAGAAUAUUUGCUAACUCCAAAAAUAAUUUUUGUGAAGAGGGUUUUGCCUUGAUAGAAGUUACUGUGGCUCAGGACACAAUAGUAUUAUGAUUCAAUUUCUAUCCUUGGUAAACAUUUUAGAGUAGGAACUCAGGUUUCCACUAAACUUUUAUAUAUUGACUCACUUUAGAGUAGAGGCUAUAGCUUUGAGAAAGAAAUGGGGGAAAAGAAUUCCAGUUCACAAAUCACUGUUUCCCUCUUUAGCUUUGUGUUUGGGCUGAAAUAUUUCUUUCAUAUAGAAAUGUUCUAUACGAUGAUGGUUAUCAUUAUUGGCUACAAGUUUUUGUGUUUUGUUUUUUUUUUUUUUUACAUUCUUCAGGCCCUUUCAGCUGGAGUUCCUAAAAUAAACAAUUAUAAACUAUUGUUUUUGGUUAGAAGUCACCAAUGGGGCAUGCCUCACAAAAAUGGCAAUUGUUGUGUAGAGCCACAAAGAAUAAAUAAGAUUUCCACAGGUAGAAGAGUAGAUAAAAGAUACUUCCAGGUGGAGGGAACGGAAUAAACAAAGGCACAAAUGCUUGAACUUGUUUGGCACACUCAAGCAGAGGUGAUUAGCUCAGUGCAGCCAGGGUACAAUAGCUAUGGGAGAUACCCAAGGCUGGAAACAUUCAGCCCUAAGUGAUGGAAGCAAAGAAUUCUAAAGUUCUGUUCCUAAUUGUCCGGAGUGCCCUUUUGAAGAAAUGUGUUUAGAUAGAUUCUGAGGAUGCAUCUGGCUCUGGGAUUAAUGAGGGCUCACAAGAAGGGUCAACAGAGUAUCAGGGCCCCAUAAUUUCUCUUUCAUACCUUCUCUUAAUUAGGCAUAUAAAUAUGCUCACUGUCUUUUUCCUGCUCAUGAUUCUCGUGGUGAUAUCUUGGAAUAUGUUUUGAGAUCCUUGAGGGAGUCGUGAAAUGUUGACUCUGUGGACAAGGGGCUUUUGCUUUUGGUUGUCAUUUUAACCCUGUCGGUGGGUACUCUGGCAGGACUGUCCUGGAACAUAAUUAAGUGGUGAGAACCGUGUGAAAUACACCCUAAUGUUCACAUCUGAAUUUCUGAAUCAGUGAUCCAGUCAAAGGGAUGACUGAGUGACUAUUAAUCUGAUUGGCUGCAUGUAUAUAUUUUCAUUUAAAAGCUGAUGGGGCACAGCCCUAAUUUUUUUUUCCCAGAAGAUGAAUAGCUAAAGUAGACAUUAGAUCCUACUUCAGUGUUUACCAGAAAAGUUCACACUAUCAAAGCACUUGCAUGAUGUGAAUUUUUUUUUUGCCUUUUUUUUUUUUUAAUGUUUAUUUACUUUGGAGAGAGUGAGCUGGGGACAGAGAGAGGGAGACACAGGAUCCGAAGGAGGUUCAAGGGUCUGCACCAGCAGCACAGAGCCCGACGCAGGGCUUGAACUCACCAACAGUGAGAUCAUGACCUGAGCCGAAGUUGGACGCUUAACUGACUGAGCCACCCGGGCACCCCAGCUUCCAGGCCUUUCUCCUGUCUUGUCUCCACAUAGCUACGUGAAUGAACUGAUCUCGCACCUCCAUGGCUGUAGAAUCUUCUGCAGCGUCCCAUCACAUUCAGGAUAAUCCGUCCUUGUGGAUAUGAACUCAAGUGUCCAUUAACUGAUGAAUGAAUAGAAUGUGGUAUAUCCAUACCAUGGAAUACUACUCAGCCACAAACAAGAAUGAAAUACUAUACCUGCUACAACAUGGAUGAAUCGUGACAAAAUUUUGCCAAAUGAAAGAAGCCAGUCAUAAAAUGUCAUAUAUUGUGUGAUUUUCUUCACAUGAAAUGUCCAGUUGAGGCAAGUAAUGGAGAGACAGAAAGUACUUUUGUGGUUGCCUAGGGGUCGGGGCCUUGAGGGCAUAUGGGGAGACUGCUAAUGGGUCUGGGGUUUCUUUUAGAAGUAAUAUAAAUGUUAUAAAAUUGAUUUGUGGGGCACCUGGCUGGUUCAGUUGGUACAGCACACAAUUCUUGAUCUCAAGGUCGUGAGUUCAAGCCCCACAUUGGGUGUGGAGCCUACUUAAAAAAUAUAAAAUUGAUUAUGAUUGUACAACUUGGUGAAUAUACUAAAAAUCAUUUAAUUCUGUAUUCUAAAGAGAGGUAAAUUGUAUGGUUAUAUGAAUUUUAUCUCAAUAAAGCUAUUAUUUAUAAAAGAUCAUUAUAACAUGUUUAACUUAUAUAAAUAUGUUCAUUCCUUAUUUUAAGUUCUUAAAAUGUCCCAGAAACCAGCUCACAAUUCCCCAAUGCUUUGGGCUGCUCUGGGAAAAAAAAAAAAAAAUGUUCCGGACAUAUAGACUGUUUUUAGUCUUAAACAAAAGUACUUCUCUGGAUGAAUAAUUAAACUCAGAAGGUGGUAAAUCUUCUCCCUUCUCAGCCUUUUUGUUAAAAUGGGGACUAGGCUCAGGACUUGGCCCCUCCAAGUGGCCAAAUAAGUGAUCACUGAAUUUUAGAGCAAGAAGGGGGUCUAGUGACCAGCUAAGAAGCAUCCCAUGAACAAAUUUUUAUCUUGCUAUGGAUUCUACAAAAGCAAAUAAGACCUUGGGUUCUGAUAGUUUACUCAAGUGGUAAUUGCAGGAAGAACUAAUAAGUGGAGAAAGACACAAAAGGAAGAAAAACCAAUAAAAGAUAUGAUGAAACAUGGGUUGCCUUAAGUGGGCAAUUGGGGCUCAAUCCCACUGAGGACACUCUGUGAAGAUAUGUACAAUAUGUCUCAAAAUUGCCCCAGAGGAGUAUAGGGAGACUGAGGCAUGUAACCACCAGCUCACAUGUCCUCUUAGUUGGGGACUGGUGUCGAAGAGUUAACUGUCCCUCACGUCUGGGCUGUGUCUGCCUGCCAUAGAAGAAGCUUCUGCUGGAGAAAUCCUUCAGGCUUAGAAAAAGCAAGGCAGAUGCUUGAGGGGAAAGCCGUCAGCUUUCUGGAACUUUCUACAGCUUUGAGUGAGAUUAGGUGGGCUGUGGAGUUGAGAGGUGGACAAACAACAUCAACUACAGUCUCUUGUGACAAAGGACACAUAAGAGGGAUGGGAUUUCCACCACUGCUCUGGCUCAAAAGGGAAUUUCCAAUUCACCUUUCCUGCCCCAUCUUGAUUAGGAGGUGGAUUUCCCUUCAGUUUCAUCACCCCACAAGUGACAAAGUCCUUUUCUGAUCUGUGGGACUGAUGAGCAUCUAGGACCUCCACCAGUAGCUUGUCUAUAGGAGAUGGAUCCAUGCAGAACAGUGGAGGGAUCUAGGCAGAGUCUCACAGGCAGCAACAAACCUCACUUACAUGCAGGGACUCCACUGUCUAGAGAUUGGUCCAUAAUGAGAGAAAAGGGACAUUUAGGUGUGGAGUCAGUGUCCUCAUAGCUUCUUGGCACAUGAAAGGUGCCUACCUUCUUACCACGGUUCUCAGCUUCUCCUUUUCACCUUAUUGAGGCUAAGCUACUGAGAGAACUCAUUCUGCUGGCAUCAGUCCAAACCUCUCUGUACUAUAGCCCCCAAUGAUUCGUGGUAAAACAUUAAUUUUGAAAAUUAAUAAUGUAAAUUCCACAUCUCAAGGUUAGAAGAAGUCAAUGUAAAGAAAGCCAAACAAGGUUCCUUACCACAGAAUUUCCAAGACCCUUCAGUAUGCCUAUAAGCCUUGACUACCCUCAAGGAGAAGUUUAAAGUUCAUAGUAUUUCUUAAAACUAUUCUCCCAGAAAAGAUUUUCCCAUAGAUUUUCAUGGAACUAGUGUUCUACAGAACACACUUGGGGCAACACUGGUAUAGCCCAAUCCAUUUGUUUCACUGAUGUGGAAACUGGAGUCCACAGAAGCAAGGUGACUUGCACAAGUCAUGCUAUAAGUUGCCGAUGGAGCCAGAACUUAAACCCACCAAUUCCAUCUUUCAUAUCUCCAUGCCCUCUGCUCAGUGACAGUACAAUGGUCAUGGUUUCACCUGUGAUGGAAAGCUCCUGAGUUGUCCUUUCUCUGUCCUUUGUGUCUUCGAGAAGUGUCAUCCUCCAUCACUAUCUGAACCAGAGAAAUGAAACAUUUGUGUCAUUCCUAUGGUCAACAACUGUCAACUAGGAGAAGCUAAAUGUGACAAGCUCUCACUAAGGAUAUAUAAAUGAGGUUUCUAAGCAGCAAAGACACAUUCUCCACUCUCUCUUGCCCCCUCUACUAGAUGAAUGCUAAGAACACUGGGACCCUAGGGAGUGGUAAAGCCAUACAAUGGAAAGAAGUCUGCUUUCUUGAACCUGCAUGCAGAGGGAAGCCACUAGCUUACCUGCAAAGAGUCCCACAUAAGCAAGAAAGAAACUUCUAUGAGGAUAAACCACUCCAGCCGAAUGAGCUAUUUUUCACUUCAACUCUCUCCCCGUCUUGCCUGCUGCCACCACCUGGUCUUGUCACCACAACAUUCCUUAACACCCCAGUAGGGAAAAGGCAAACCAGAGGCAGACAGCCCUGGGCCCUAGAGUCUCAAGUCCACCAUCUGAUGAAGUGGCUUUGGGCAGGUUACCAAUCUCUGGGUCAUAAUGGAACAUGCACUGUGAAUAUCGUCAUGAAGUCCCCAUUUCUAAGGAGUGGAACAUGCUCAAGGAAGAGAGCAACUUUCCCCCAGCCUGACAGAAUGCAACAUAAUUGGUUUAUGCCAAACAUGGUAAUUCCGUUCCCUUUUCCCUAUGAUUGACUUGGGAGGUGGCAUGUGACCCAAUUCUGACCACUGAGACUAAAGAGACAAUCUGUUGAUGAUGUCUUCUCCCAAGGUUUAUGUUUUCUGCUACAAAGAGUAACAGCCAGUUCCCUCCUGCCUGACUUGAAUGUAAUUGCAUGGGAACAUGAUACUUGGGGCUACAGCAGCCAUUCUGUGAUCAUGAGGCAACAAGCCAAAGGGCACAGGAUAAAACAGUGAAAAGACAGAAUGAUAUCAUUAGAUUAGAUGAUAUCAUUAAACUGCUGAACCAAUCUGGAACCAAUGACUUCUAGACUUUGAUAAUUCGUGAGAUGAUUAAAAAUUUCUACUGUU